rnacentral:tRNA from 1 species
GGGGCAUUAGCUCAAUUGGCAGAGCUGCGGACUUUUAAUCCGUAGGUUCAGGGUUCGAGCCCCUGAUGCCCCAC